AAUACUUUACUUGGAACAGAAUUUCCUUUUAUCUUUGCUGCAAGGACAAUGGUAUCUUUUCUUCGGAAGAGUGGGAGAGCUUGUGCCAGGACUUGCAAGCAUAGCCUUAAUGGACUGAGGCUGAAACUUCUUUAGAAAUAGGCAAUCAGCCGAGAGAAGUAUGCUGGGAGGCAUGCUAACGUCCAAGAAAGAAAAUUGCAAGAUCGUUAUGCAAUAAUAAAUGCAAAAGGACUUUGUCUGCUGCUGGCUCUGCUUCAUACCUGCCUAGGGCAUUUGCCUGAAUUAAAACUGCUUUGAUGAAAUGACAUUCAGAAUUUGAAUAUGAACAUGUGAAAAUGAACACCAAAACCUGUGGUCUGGCAUGAACAGCAAUGUAUUCAUACUGGUUCUCUUCCUUAUACACAGAUCUUUGUUACCAUGGCUGAUGGGUCAUCUGGCAGGACGAGAUAAUAAUGCACAUUUACCUCGGAAAGGGGGGUAUUACAAUUAAAAUCUUUAGAGGUAUUAAAAGAGGAGAAGGU